UGUGAACUCGAAGAGUAGGGCGGGACACGUGGUAUCCUGUCUGAAUAUGGGGGGACCAUCCUCCAAGGCUAAAUACUCCUGACUGACCGAUAGUGAACCAGUACCGUGAGGGAAAGGCGAAAAGAACCCCGGCGAGGGGAGUGAAAAAGAACCUGAAACCGUGUACGUACAAGCAGUGGGAGCACCUUCGGGUGUGACUGCGUACCUUUUGUAUAAUGGGUCAGCGACUUAUAUUCUGUAGCAAGGUUAACCGUAUAGGGGAGCCGCAGGGAAACCGAGUCUUAACUGGGCGUUAAGUUGCAGGGUAUAGACCCGAAACCCGGUGAUCUAGCCAUGGGCAGGUUGAAGGUUGGGUAACACUAACUGGAGGACCGAACCGACUAAUGUUGAAAAAUUAGCGGAUGACUUGUGGCUGGGGGUGAAAGGCCAAUCAAACCGGGAGAUAGCUGGUUCUCCCCGAAAGCUAUUUAGGUAGCGCCUCGUGAACUCAUCUUCGGGGGUAGAGCACUGUUUCGGCUAGGGGGUCAUCCCGACUUACCAACCCGAUGCAAACUACGAAUACCGAAGAAUGUUAUCACGGGAGACACACGGCGGGUGCUAACGUCCGUCGUGAAGAGGGAAACAACCCAGACCGCCAGCUAAGGUCCCAAAGUCAUGGUUAAGUGGGAAACGAUGUGGGAAGGCACAGACAGCCAGGAUGUUGGCUUAGAAGCAGCCAUCAUUUAAAGAAAGCGUAAUAGCUCACUGGUCGAGUCGGCCUGCGCGGAAGAUGUAACGGGGCUAAACCAUGCACCGAAGCUGCGGCAGCGACACUAUGUGUUGUUGGGUAGGGGAGCGUUCUGUAAGCCUGCGAAGGUGUGCUGUGAGGCAUGCUGGAGGUAUCAGAAGUGCGAAUGCUGACAUAAGUAACGAUAAAGCGGGUGAAAAGCCCGCUCGCCGGAAGACCAAGGGUUCCUGUCCAACGUUAAUCGGGGCAGGGUGAGUCGACCCCUAAGGCGAGGCCGAAAGGCGUAGUCGAUGGGAAACAGGUUAAUAUUCCUGUACUUGGUGUUACUGCGAAGGGGGGACGGAGAAGGCUAUGUUAGCCGGGCGACGGUUGUCCCGGUUUAAGCAUGUAGGCUGGUUAUCCAGGCAAAUCCGGAUAACCAAGGCUGAGGUGUGAUGACGAGGCACUACGGUGCUGAAGUAACAAAUGCCCUGCUUCCAGGAAAAGCCUCUAAGCA
rnacentral:rRNA from 1 species